AGGAAUGAGAUAAAGUCCGGGCUCCUUCGGAAAAAAAUGCCGGAUAAUAACCGGGCAUCACAGGGAAGCUGCAUAAGAUAAACAAUACUAACCAAAAGUUAAAGGUUGUUUUUAGCUUGUAAAGCCCCUCUGAUGACAGAUAGUGCAGCAGAAAUAGUACCGCCCACCAUGUGGUGAGUAAGGGUGAAAAGGCAGUGUAAGAGACUACCGCGCAACUGGUAACAGUUGUGGCUUGUAAACCUCAUUUGGAGCAAGAUUAAGCAGCAGUUAUGUGUUUCCGAGCAAUACUGCGGGUAAAUCGCUGGAAUUAAAUGGUAACAUUUAAUGCGGAUAGAUGGUCAUUGGCAGAAAUGUCAGACAGAACCCGGCUUAUUAUCCCAUC
rnacentral:RNase_P_RNA from 1 species